UUGAGGGUCCUAAAGGGCCGUUGGAGACCACAACGUUGAUAGGUGGGGUGUGUAAGCGUAGCGAUACGUUGAGCUAACCCAUACUAAUUACCCGUGAGGCUUAACCAUACAACACCCAAGAAGUGUUCU
rnacentral:rRNA from 1 species